UGAAAUAAUAUUUGGCAGUAACAACGAGUCACUGAAACUAAAUAAACAAGCCCUUUCAAGACUACAUAAAAGUUGGUAACAUAAUAACAUUUGACAGGGAUUAAGACCUCUUUGGGGGCUGUAAGGGAGUUUCAGAAGCAGCAAUAACAAAUACGUGGAAGGUAGAAAGGACCUAUGGGAUAACAGACUUGUACAAUUGGAAGCGGAAUGAAUUUCCCGCGGGAGAUGUGCUGUUUGAAUAUCUCAUAUGUACGGCACACGUCGGAGAGCACAGAGCACUGCAGAAGUGUUUGCUGGCGCUUGCUUGGCAAAGAAGGCUUUUUUGAAAUGUUCAGUACAUUACCCACUGUGCAACAGAGGACCAGAGAUCAUUUCUCCAAACUAUAAUGAGUAUGAAGUAUAUGUUAAUUCCUGAAGUUUUGUGGAUCGUAAACUACAAACUUGCAUUAGAGUGAGUUUGAAGUCUCAAAGAAGAUUUAUAUUUUCCCCCUCUUCCAAAGCUUGGCUCCAAGAAUAGGGAAGACCUGGGCAGAGAAGUCCUUGAGGGCAAGCUGUCCUACUCACAAUCUCCAGUGACCAACUAUUGAGGCCUUUCAUUUUCUUCUUCAUUUCACUUAUUUUUGAGCCACAUUGAAGUGUGUGAAAGGUUCCUGCUAAUGCUCCUGGGAAAGCAGCUGGAAUGGCCCUAGUGCCUGGGCCCCUGCAACCUACAUGAGAGAUCCAGAUGAAGUUCCAGACUCCUGGCUUUGGCCUGGCCCAGCCCUGGCCUUUGUGGCCAUUAGGGAGUGAACCAGCAGAUGGAAAUCUCUCUCUCUCUCUGUGUCUCCCUCUCCCUGUCACUUAUU